AAACGCGAUAAGUUCACCGCCUGGGGAGUACGGUCGCAAGGCUAAAACCCAAAGGAAUUGACGGGGGCCCGCACAAGCAGCGGAGCGUGUGGUUUAAUUCGAUGCAACGCGAAGAACCUUACCUGGGCUUGACAUGUACGUAGUAGUGAAGGGAAACCGGAACGAGCCUUCGGGCAGCGUAGACAGGUGCUGCAUGGCUGUCGUCAGCUCGUGUCGUGAGAUGUUGGGUUAAGUCCCGCAACGAGCGCAACCCGUGUUGCUAGUUACAAGUGUCUAGCGAGACUGCCGGUAACAAGCCGGAGGAAGGUGCGGAUGAUGUCAAGUCAGCAUGGCCUAUAUGUCCAGGGCUACACACACGCUACAAUGGCUGGUACAAAGAGAAGCGAAAGGGAGACCUGAAGCGAAUCUCAUCAAAGCCAGUCAUAGUUCGGAUUGCAGGCUGCAACUCGCCUGCAUGAAGUCGGAGUUGCUAGUAACCGCAGGUCAGCAAUACUGCGGUGAAUACGUUCCCGGGCCUUGUACACAC
rnacentral:rRNA from 1 species